GCCUGCAUGGCCCAGUGGUAGGGCGUCGCUCUCGUAAAGCGAAGAUCCCAGGUUCGAUCCCUGGUGUAGGCA